rnacentral:rRNA from 1 species
CAGGUGGUCAGGUAGAGAAUACUCAGGCGCUUGAGAGAACUCGGGUGAAGGAACUAGGCAAAAUGGUGCCGUAACUUCGGGAGAAGGCACGCUGGCGCUAGGUGAAGUGGUUUACCCAUGGAGCUGAAGCCAGUCGCAGAUACCAGCUGGCUGCAACUGUUUAUUAAAAACACAGCACUGUGCAAACACGAAAGUGGACGUAUACGGUGUGACGCCUGCCCGGUGCUGGAAGGUUAAUUGAUGGGGUUAUCCGUAAGGAGAAGCUCUUGAUCGAAGCCCCAGUAAACGGCGGCCGUAACUAUAACGGUCCUAAGGUAGCGAAAUUCCUUGUCGGGUAAGUUCCGACCUGCACGAAUGGCGUAAUGAUGGCCAGGCUGUCUCCACCCGAGACUCAGUGAAAUUGAACUCGCUGUGAAGAUGCAGUGUACCCGCGGCAAGACGGAAAGACCCCGUGAACCUUUACUAUAGCUUGACACUGAACAUUGAGCCUUGAUGUGUAGGAUAGGUGGGAGGCUUUGAAGUGUGGACGCCAGUCUGCAUGGAGCCAACCUUGAAAUACCACCC